GAUGAACGCUAGCGGCAGGCUUAACACAUGCAGGUCGAGGGGCAGCAUGAGACGGAGAUUCGUCGAAGUCUUGAUGGCGACCGGCGCAAGGGUGCGUAACGCGUGAGCAACUUGCCCGUUUCAGGGGGAUAACCGGUGGAAACGCCGACUGAUACCCCAUGGUAUGUUUUUAAGGCAUCUUUUAAACAUUAAAGAAUUUCGGAAACGGAUAGGCUCGCGUGACAUUAGCUAGAUGGCGGGGUAACGGCCCACCAUGGCGACGAUGUCUAGGGGUUCUGAGAGGAAGGUCCCCCACACUGGAACUGAGACACGGUCCAGACUCCUACGGGAGGCAGCAGUGAGGAAUAUUGGUCAAUGGUCGAGAGACUGAACCAGCCAUGCCGCGUGAAGGUGACGGCCCUAUGGGUCUUAAACUUCUUUUGUAAGGGAGCAAUAAGGUCUACGUGUAGACUGAUGAGAGUACCUUACGAAUAAGCAUCGGCUAACUCCGUGCCAGCCGCCGCCGUAAUAC
rnacentral:rRNA from 1 species